GUCGAGCGAGAAAUCUUGAAAUGAAACUUCGGUAGAUUUUUAAGAUGGAAAGCGGCGGACGGGUGAGUAACGCGUAGGCAACCUGCCUUAUGCAGAGGGAUAGCCAUUGGAAACGAUGAUUAAAACCUCAUAACGCCGGAGAGUCACAUGGUUUUCCGGCCAAAGAUUUAUCGGCACAAGAUGGGCCUGCGUCUGAUUAGUUAGUUGGUGGGGUAACGGCCUACCAAGGCGACGAUCAGUAGCCGACCUGAGAGGGUGAUCGGCCACAUUGGAACUGAGACACGGUCCAAACUCCUACGGGAGGCAGCAGUGGGGAAUAUUGCACAAUGGGCGAAAGCCUGAUGCAGCAACGCCGCGUGAAGGAAGAAGGCCUUCGGGUCGUAAACUUCUGUCCUAUGGGAAGAAAAAAAUGACGGUACCAUAGGAGGAAGCCCCGGCUAACUACGUGCCAGCAGCCGCGGUAAUACGUAGGGGGCGAGCGUUAUCCGGAAUUAUUGGGCGUAAAGAGUGCGUAGGUGGUAACUUAAGCGCGGGGUUUAAAGGCAAUGUGCUUACCAUUGUUCGCCCUGCGAACUGGGAUACUUGAGUGCAGGAGAAGGAAAGCGGAAUUCCUAGUGUAGCCGGUGAAAUGCGUAGAUAUUAGGAGGAACACCAGUGGCGAAGGCGGCUUUC
rnacentral:rRNA from 1 species